rnacentral:misc_RNA from 1 species
CAGGAAUUUGUGUGGCUGAAAGAAAGCUUAAUGUAUUGGGGCAAAGCAUUCUAAGUGAUGUUGAUGAAAAUAUUAUUGUUACUCAGCCAAAUGGUAAAGCUUUUACUAAUGGGGCAUUUCUUGGUGUUAAUUCAGACAGAAUUGGUAGUCAUAGAGUCUUCCCUAUUGGCAAACUACAAGGAUUGAGAUUUAUGUGUGGUUUCCGGUUCAAGUUAUGGUGGAUGACACAGAGAAUGGGUACAUCUGGCCAAGAUAUACCAUUCGAGACUCAGUUUUUGAUUGUAGAAGGAAAUGAUGGUUCAAAUUUUGAUCAAGACAACCAGCAAAAUUCAGCAUUGUAUGUUGUUUUCUUGCCUAUUCUAGAAGGUGAUUUUAGGGCCGUUCUUCAAGGGAAUUCAAACGAUGAGUUAGAGAUAUGUUUGGAAAGUGGAGAUCCUGCUGUGCAAGAUUUCGAGGGAAGCCAUUUGGUUUACGUAGCAGCUGGACCAGACCCUUUUGAUGUCAUCACUAAUGCUGUCAAGACGGUGGAGAGGCAUUUACAGACAUUUUGUCACCGUGAUAGAAAGAAGAUGCCAGACAUGUUGAACUGGUUCGGAUGGUGCACGUGGGAUGCUUUCUAUACUACCGUUAC